rnacentral:rRNA from 1 species
GUACACGAGCGGCGAACGGGUGAGUAACACGUGAGUAAUCUGCCCUUCACUUCGGGAUAACCACCGGAAACGGUGGCUAAUACCGGAUACGACCAGUCCUUGCAUGAGGUGCUGGUGGAAAGUCUUUUCGGUGGAGGAUGUGCUCGCGGCCUAUCAGCUUGUUGGUGGGGUAAUGGCCUACCAAGGCUUCGACGGGUAGCCGGCCUGAGAGGGUGACCGGCCACACUGGGACUGAGACACGGCCCAGACUCCUACGGGAGGCAGCAGUGGGGAAUAUUGGACAAUGGGCGAAAGCCUGAUCCAGCAACGCCGCGUGAGGGAUGACGGCCUUCGGGUUGUAAACCUCUUUCAGUAUCGACGAAGCGCCCUGUCGGGUGGUGACGGUAGAUACAGAAGAAGGACCGGCCAACUACGUGCCAGCAGCCGCGGUAAUACGUAGGGUCCGAGCGUUGUCCGGAAUUAUUGGGCGUAAAGGGCUCGUAGGCGGUUUGUCACGUCGGGAGUGAAAUCUUACAGCUUAACUGUGAACUUGCUUUCGAUACGGGCAGACUUGAGGCAUUCAGGGGAGAACGGAAUUCCUGGUGUAGCGGUGAAAUGCGCAGAUAUCAGGAGGAACACCGGUGGCGAAGGCGGUUCUCUGGGAAUGUUCUGACGCUGAGGAGCGAAAGUGUG